rnacentral:rRNA from 1 species
AACCCGUGUGGGGAAGCCGUAGCGAAAGCGAGUCCGAAUAGGGCGCCAUAGUCGCUGGGUCUAGACCCGAAGCGGAGUGAUCUACCCAUGGCCAGGCUGAAGCGACGGUAAGACGUCGUGGAGGGCCGAACCCACUUAGGUUGAAACUGAGGGGAUGAGCUGUGGGUAGGGGUGAAAGGCCAAUCAAACUCCGUGAUAGCUGGUUCUCCCCGAAAUGCAUUUAGGUGCAGCGUCACGUGUUUCUUACCGGAGGUAGAGCUACUGGAUAGCCGAUGGGCCCCACCAGGUUACUGACGUUAGCCAAACUCCGAAUGCCGGUAAGUGAGAGCGUGGCAGUGAGACUGCGGGGGAUAAGCUCCGUAGUCGAGAGGGAAACAGCCCAGACCACCAGCUAAGGUCCCUAAGCGUGUGCUAAGUGGGAAAGGAUGUGGAGUUGCAUUGACAACCAGGAGGUUGGCUUAGAAGCAGCCACCCUUUAAAGAGUGCGUAAUAGCUCACUGGUCAAGUGAUUCCGCGCCGACAAUGUAGCG